AGGGUACCAAACUUCCUUCGCCCCUGUCCUGAACUUUGUGCGCAAAGAGGUCAAGAAACAAGCUGGCGAGUUCGAAGAUAUUCUAGAUAACACACCUGGAGGAAAAAAGGGAGAAUCUGCACUUCGUCUAUUCAUAAAGGAACAGGGCAAGAAGUUACGGCGCCUAUCCAACAUUUUAGG